rnacentral:tRNA from 3 species
CGCGGGGUGGAGCAGCCUGGUAGCUCGUCGGGCUCAUAACCCGAAGGUCGUCGGUUCAAAUCCGGACCCCCGCAACCA